AAUGAACGCUGGCGGCAGGCCUAACACAUGCAAGUCGAACGGAUCCUUCGGGAUUAGUGGCGGACGGGUGAGUAACGCGUGGGAACAUACCCUUUGGUACGGAAUAGCCUCGGGAAACUAGGAGUAAUACCGUAUGUGGUCGAGAGACGAAAGAUUUAUCGCCAAAGGAUUGGCCCGCGUUGGAUUAGGUAGUUGGUGGGGUAAUGGCCUACCAAGCCGACGAUCCAUAGCUGGUUUGAGAGGAUGAUCAGCCACACUGGGACUGAGACACGGCCCAGACUCCUACGGGAGGCAGCAGUGGGGAAUCUUAGACAAUGGGGGAAACCCUGAUCUAGCCAUGCCGCGUGAUCGAUGAAGGCCUUAGGGUUGUAAAGAUCUUUCAGGUGGGAAGAUAAUGACUGUACCACCAGAAGAAGCCCCGGCUAACCCCGUGCCAGCCGCCGCCGUAAAAC
rnacentral:rRNA from 1 species